AUGAGUCAGCUGACAGUAGCUGGGAAGAGAAGAAAUUAAAAAACAAAGAAAGAAAGAAAACAUUUCUCAGAGGCAGGUGAACAAGUUCAGUUAGGAGAUAAGGGCCCUGGAGAGAGACUCAUCAGGGUUUGAUUUAGCCAGAUGCAAAGGUGACAGGAACGUUGACCUUCUGUUCUUUAGAAUUCUUGUAGCAGUAUUAAGAGCAACGAAACAAAGAUUUAGCAAGCCAUAAACCAGGGUGAAGAUCUCAGGAAGGGAGAGCUAAACAUCGAGUAGUGGAGGAAGUUACACUUAGAAGAUCAUGCUGACCAUGUUCCCCUUCAUCUGCAUCCCUGGAAGCAUCAUCACAUCUGCCCUUGCUACAUCGCCUCACCAGAUCUUCAACUAUACCUGGGUGAUUCUUAAUGGCACCGGAGAUGUGGUGUCUGACAACUCCACCACCGCUGCACGAAUUCCCUGCCCCAUUCUUGAGUUCCUGCAGUUCUGGGAAAGAGGUACCUCCACUCGUACAAAGAGAGAACCCAUCACUGCCGGGACUCUUGCAAUACUCCUAGGCCUGUCAGCUGUGGGGACAGGAACUGGGGUUGCCUCCCUGAUCACCUCCCAACAGAGUUAUCAUCAGCUCAGUGCCGCCAUAGACAGGGACAUCAGUGAGCUUCAACAAGGAAUAACCUAUCUUAAAGAUUCAGUCGCUUCCUUGGCUGAGGUUGUUCUACAAAAUAGAAGGGGAUUAGAUCUUCUCUUUCUCCAACAGGGAGGGCUCUGUGCGGCCCUCAAGGAGGAGUGUUGCUUUUAUGCUGAUAAGACAGGAUUAGUAGAAAACAGCCCACAAAAAGUUAGAGAAAGUCUACAAAAGAGACAAAGAGAAAGAGAAAAGAGUGAAGUCUGGUAUAAAAAUUGGUUUUCUGGGGGGCUGGAGAGAUGGCUCAGUGGUUAAAAGCACUGUCUGCUCUUCCAGAGGUCCUGAGUUCAAUUCCCAGCAACCACAUGGUGGCUCACAACCAUCUGUAAUGAGAUCUGAUGCCCUCUUCUGGUGUGUCUGAAGACAGUGACAGUGUACUCACAUACAUACAGUAAAUAAAUAAAAUCUUUAAAAAAAAAAAA